UGUCUUGAAAAACCAAAAAAGAAAAAAAAAAAAGAAAAGAAAAGAAAUCUAAUAAAACCUAAAAAUAUCUUUAUAUUAGCUUACAGAGUAGUGGGUUUCCAUGGAGACUUUUUAAAAACAUCUUUGAUUUGGUUAACCAAUCCCACCCUCUUUACCUCCACCCCAUCCCAGCUUAAACCUUUAACCCCUAGUACUGUCCCCUCUCACACAUCAUGUGUUUUCUACAUUCCUCUUUUCUCCCUAAGACCUCUUCCCUUCUUUCUCUCAUGGGACCUUUUAAGAUUUCUGAGCUCUACAGAUGUUUGAAAUUAAACACAUAUACUUAAAAAAUAAUCUAUACAAGAAUCCAUAUAUAAAGAGGGGACAUGAAGCAUUUAUAUUUCUGGGUCUGCAUUUCCUCAUUCAGUAUAAUAUUUUAUAAUUCUGUCAAUUUUCCUGAAAAAUUUCAUGAUUUCAUUUUACUUUAUAGCUGAAUAAAGUUCCACUGUGUGCAUGUACUACAUUUUCAUUAUCUAUUCAUCAGCUGAUGGGCGUCUAGGCUGAUUCAUUUCCUAGCUACAGUGAAUAGAGCAGUGAGGAACCUGGAUGCGCAGGAUCUCCUUUGAGUGUUUUCCCAGAAGUGGUAUAACUAGAGUGUAUGGUACUUCUAUUUUUAGCUUUUUGAGAAACCUCUACAUCAGAUGCCAUAGUGGUUGUACAGUUUACUCUGCCACCUGUGGUGAAUACGGGUUCUUCUUUCUUCACAUCUCUGCAGCACUUGUUUUCUUUUUAUUUCCUCAUUUUAUCAAUUCAUUGAGAAUUUUUAAUAAUGCAAUUUGCUCAUAUUCCCUCUCCUCCUUCUCAUCCCAGACCCAUAGCCCCUUCACUACCAUCUUUUUUUUUUUUUUUUUAAGACGUGGCCUCUCUAGAUAGCCUUAGCUGUCAUAGAACUCAAUAUGAAGAACAGGUUGACCUCAAACUCAGAGAUCCACUGGUCUCUCUGCCUCUUGAGUACUGGGACUAGAGACAUGUACCGCCAUGCUUGACUUGUGCCCCCCUUUAAAAAAUGUAUCAAGUACAGUUCAUGCUGCCUAUAUAUUCUUGAAUAUAUGGCCUUCAGAGGAGGGCGGCCAUGCUCUUAAAGAACCUCCCUGCCUCCUAGCAGCUAUCAGUUGCCAAUGGCUCCUUAGCUAGACAUCAAAUUCAUGCCCAUAUCCCCUCCCAAUGCUGGGACUUUGUCUGGUCUGAGCCUGUGCAUGUCUUUGUGUGAUGUCUCAACUGCUGUGAAUCCAUACGUGCAACUGCCCUGCUGCUGUGUCCAUAAAACACCAUUUUUAUAGUUAUCCACCACCUAUGGAUCUUAUACUUUUUCUGCACCCUCUUUCACCACUAGUACCUCUUCCUCUGAGCCUUGGGUGGAGAGACUGUCAUUUAGAACGUUCUGCAGUCUCUCAUUUUCUGACCCAUGAUCAAUUGUGGACUUUUUGUGUUAGUCACCAUGUACUACAAAGGAAGAUUCCCUGGGCUGACCAAUACACUGACCUAUGUGGUUGUACUAUGGGUACAACCACAAGUCACUAGGAACUGCUUUAAUCCUAUUCAUUUAGAGAAUUACAGCAGUGUGUUCUCUGCUAGGGCCUAUGACCUGCUUAGCCACAGAUUCUUUGCUCCAGUAACAGUGUCAGAUAUGGGUUUCAACUUGUUGAGCAGGCCUUAAACCCAAUCAGAAAGUGGGUGAUUAAUCUAUAAACUUCAUGCAACUAACCACUGGGAGGGUUUUGCCUGUGCAUUGUAGCUCAUGGGGUUCCACAGUUCAUUGCUUUGACCAUCCCCAUAUUUGUCCUUCAGUUUCCCCAUUGUCUUGUCAGACUUCCAGGCCUUUUUAAGAUUUAAUAUUUUAUCCAGAACAUUUACUUGCUUUCAGUAGGAUGGCUGCUGUGAAUAAUUUAGGCUGCCAUUACCAAAUAUUCUCUAUCAUAGUUUUAUCACCAGCAGACUAUCAUCUAAGUAAUAUUGAAGUGCUUUUAUGUAUGUCUUAAAAUAUAUGAAUUACUUUUCCCUUGAAGAUGAAUUUCUUCAUUUUCUUGAUGAGGAAAUUUAGAUCUUUCUUAAAUUUGAGAAACUAAUUUAGUAAUAAUGUAUUCUUUGAUACAUUGAAUAAUUGAACAAAAUAGCACACUUAAAUAUGUUCAUUAGCUGAACUUUAUUAAAGUAGUAUUUAUGGCUUUUCUUGACAUGAAAUUUUGCAUAUUUCUUUAUUAAUUUGAUAUUUUUGAGCAUAAGAAAGUAUGGAGAAAAGUAAUAUAUAAUCAUAUUGUUAAAAUAAAUGCAGCAAUAGACCAGUAUACCAUAAAUUAUAAUACAAUUACACUGAAGCUAAAGUUGAUUGAAUACAUCAAACCUUGGAAACUGAAAAGGAAAUCAACAGACUUAGUAUGGUGUUUGUUGGAGUAUUCAGCUAGGCAGGGAAACCUUCCAGUGUAUGUCUCCUUUAAGAAUAAUUAAUGGUUGAUUUGGGAAGCAAAUGGGUAGAGUAGAUGAUGAAUAUUUCAGUCAUAGUGAAAACCCUAAAUAAAGGCCUAGAAAAAAAAUAAGAAAAGACGGAAUUUGCUGGAAAUAAAUUUAUUUACCCCAAACAUAAUCUAUAUGUCCAAACAAGAUAAAAGUUGAGGUUAGGUUAUCAAAUAAUAAGAUUUAGAUGACUCUUAAGUGCAAUCCUUAGGAUUUUACUUUCUAUCCUAAGAAGGUGGAGAUUCGGUAAAGAUGAAAUGAUUUUAAAGCAAUUUUUUCAUUAAAAUGUGCCACAGCUACAUCAUUGAUAUUUUGAAGU
rnacentral:lncRNA from 1 species